rnacentral:lncRNA from 1 species
GAUGGAUGAUAAAGUUACAGGAAAUAACACAUUGAAGUUUUAUAGAUAAAAUUGCACUAAGAAUUAGGGGUGGGUCUGUCUACUUUAGCCAGAAGUACUCAGCAAAGCGUUGCCUGUCAUGCAAAAGUCUGUAGCGGGAGAAACCUCAAAGAGAAUUCUUUUGAUUGAGCAUCUGGAUGAUGGGACUGCAUCCAGGCGAUUAUGAUUUGUGACUCUAACUCCAAGCAAAGCCUUGUUCUGGGAUUAUUCAUUCUUGUUUGAGCAAUUAACUUACAUAGUUGAAUUUCUACAUGAAAUAAUAGCUGGAUAGGAGAGACUAAACCCCUUUUCAGUUUUGCGGAGCAGAGUGAUUCCAUCUAGAAAACAGCCAUAGAUCUUCACAAAACGACCUACCGAUUUUUACGUUAAAUUUAAGUCUGUCUGCAAUUUGGAACCAAAGUCAUGGUAUGGGCUGUUUGGAAUGACCCGAUGUUUUGUAGCCAAAGUUCAAUCCACUGAAUGGAAUUUAGGGCUUAUUCACAUUAAAAACUAAUGGGUUAGAAUAUAUUUCCAUUUGUUACUUUAUCCAGCUCAGGGAUAAAAUUACGUCUCCACUCAUUCGUUCGGUAAAUAUUUGCUGAGUGCAUCCCACGUGUCAGGACUGUUCUAUGCACCAGAGAUGGAGCAGUGGGUAGAACAAAGUCUCUGGUUUUAUGGGGAUUAUAUUUUGGAAAAAGAAGUCGCUAAAUAGAUAUAUAGUGCAUCUACAUGAUAACGUUGCUGGGUAUAAUGCACAUUGGGAGGGAAAAUAGAGCAGGAUGGAAGGGAAGGGAAAUAUUGAACGUACGUGAAGGCAUUCUUUUUUGGAAGGGUGGUCCUGGCAGACUCUAAGAUUCCAACGUCAAGGGUUAGAACAUCUAGCAUCUCACAUAAGGUUAGAUAGAACAUAAAACAUCUAACACAGACCAUCUAACUUCGAUUCCAACAUCUAACUUCGACUUCAGUGAAGACGAGGGUGCCUGGAACCUGGAAGAAGAGUUAGGAGGAGAUGACAAAUACAAAAGUUCUAACACAGGUCGGACUUUGCCGUAUUUUAGGAUCCUCUAGAAAUCCAGUGUUGCUGGAGUGGAGUGAGCAAGCGGAGAGAGGAAAGAAAGAAAUGUCAGGCAGAGAGGCUCCAAAUCAAGAUCCGGAUUUUAUUCUCAGGGUGCUGGGGAUCACCGAAAGAUUUUUGGAAGGGCGACGGUAGACGGGCUCUCUGUCUGUCAGAGGCAGGUGGGGUGGAAGAUGGACUCUGAAGGAGAACAAGGCAGCGGUCAGGGAGCCAGGUCAUGGAGCCGGUGCUGACCGCAGGCCGGCUGCUCAUGUCCCAGCAAUGCUGGUAGCCGGAGAAAUGUUUUAAUCCCAGGUAUAUUUCAAAGCCACGAAUGACCAGCUUUUUGUGAUGGAUGGGGUAGGUGUUAGGGAAAGUGAGGAAUUGAGGGUGACUCCACAGUACUUGAUCCGAGUCCCCGGAAAGCAGUUGAGCCUGUUAUUCAUUUUUUUCUCAGGUAUUUGAACGCUGACUUAUGCUGCUAGGUUCUGUAUCAGGUGCUGAUGUGUGCCGCUGAGCUACAUAGGCAGAGAUCCCUGGAAGAAAAGAACAGUAGAAAUGAGCAUGCAUAAAUACACAUUAGAGCAUGUUAGAAGAUGGGAAGUAUGGAAAAAGGGGACUCAGAGGGAAGUGACGGGCUGGCUGGAGAAGAGCUUCCUUUAUGAAAUGAGGUAGCAGCUUCGGCCUCAUCGAGGUGGUAUGGAAGCUGACCCGGGGCAAGGAAACCUUGUGGCUGCAGCCCAGUGAGGUGGAGAGAAUAGCAGGUGAUGAGACAGAACAGGUAACCAGGAGGCCAGAUCGUGGGGGGCCUCCAAGACCUUGUGUUGGGCUAUUACUCUGCAUGAAAUGUGGAGUCAUUUCAGGGUCACUUGGGCACAGAAGUGACAUGAGGUGACUUACGAUGAAAAGUCUGACCUGGAAUUCCCUGGUGGCUCGGGGGUUAAGGAUGUUGAUGUUGUCACUGCUGUGGCAUGGCUUCCAUCCCUGUGUCCAGAACCUCCGCAUGUCACAAGCGUGGCCAAAAAAAAAAAAAAAAGUCUGACUCUAACUGCUCCUUUGAGAAUCUAUUACAGGCAGCAAAGGUAAGCAGGAAGGCCUGUUAGGGAGUUAUUGUAAUAAUCGGGAGGAGAGCUGAUGGCAGCUUGGUUGAGAGAGAGAGCCGUGAAAGGGGAAAUAACUGGCCAGGGUCUGAAUACAUGUAAAAAGUAGAGUCCUCUUGAUUUCUUGAUAGAUUAGGGAACAGUGGUUUUUGACCUGAAAAGCUAGAAAGACGGAGUUAUCAUCGACUGAGAUGUUGAAGGUUCUGAUUUGAGUGGAAGGUGGAGAAGACCAGGAGUUCCGUUUCUAAGGGAAAGAAUCAGGCUGACAGUUGGAUAUUCCAGUCUAGACCUCAGGAGCGUUUUGCACUGGUGGUCUAAGCGUGGUGUUCAGAACCACAGGUGGGAAUGAGGUCGCAUGGAGAGUGAAUGGAAACGGGAAAGAGGUCAAGGCUGAGCCCUUGGGCAGCCCAACCUUCAGAAGCAGGGAGAAGAGGCAGAACUAGCAAAGGAACCAACGAGGUAGGGGAGGACCCAGGUGGAGGGGUCGAGGAGGAGGGAGCGAAAAAGGCUACAGAUAGGUCACGUACGAUGGCCGGGAACUCACCGUUGGAUGCAGCCACAUGGAGUUGUGGUUUUGAGCUUUGGCGGGUGGUGGGGAGAAAGCUUGGAAGAGGAUGAGGGUGUUGAAGGGAGGAAAGUCUGUUCACUAUAGGGAGGAGUCCUGGGGGAGAAGCAGAGGGGCUGAGGAUGAAGGGAUCAACCCAAAUGCUUGGCUCUGUUGAGACUCAUUUUCCAUGAUGGCCCCGUGCAGCCACGUGUUUAGGCAAAUCUGCAGGAAUGCUGAAUCAGCUCUUUUCUCCGUGAUUAGCCCUUAAUCACUUCGUUAAAAUAUUUGCUGUUUUUAUUCAAGAUCAAUUUUGUACUUCCCCGCUAAACCUUCUGAACAUUCAUCUUGCCAAAAGAAAUAUGAAUCCUUUGUAGGGUUUUUAUGACUCAGAGACAAAGGAUUUCUUUCUUUUUAUUGAAUUAUGUGUGUUUCUGAGCCUGGUUCUGCUCUGAAUCUCAUAUUGUAAUAAGUUAAUAUUUAUUGUAGUGCAGGCACAGUAAUGCGGCACUUGGCACUGAGUUCACUAUCAAAUAAUUGGAUUUUAUGUAUACCUUCCCCAAAGAAAGGCAGAGAUUGUGAUUAUGCAGACACUUGGUAAAUAGCCACACGUCGUCGCUUUGUGAUCAGCUGUUGUUUUAUAGUUAACUCUUAUAGCAUUGGUCUCAUUUUAUUUUCUUGAUUUUUAGAUCGUGAGUUUUUGAGAGGCGGAGACUGUACCCGGUGCAUAGUCCUCACAGCAAAGAGGCAGACUUUCUGUCUCUUCUGUUAAUUCUGAUUGAAUUAAUGCUCUCUUGCGUAAAAGCUGGGCAAAAUACCUGCCUUUCUGGCAGGACAUAACUAGAAUGUCUUCCAACGUGUGACUUGAUCUUCCAUAGCGCCAGUCCCUUGGGAAGCUGGAUGAAUAUUUUCAGGGAUUCUUCCAUCCUGCUUGUACUACCUACUCUCUGUUAAGCAUUUUGAUCAUUGCAAAAUAACCCUUUGAGAAACGGUACACUGAGUAUCCCUUUUAUCCUAACUGGAAUCUAUAGUUCAGUGCAAGUGGUUUCAUUUAAUCAUGUCUUUUAUAAAUAAAGGCUUUUAGUGGCCCUUGCAUGUCUCUGAUUGAUAUAUAAUGACUGGCAAAUAUUUUGAUUCCCAUUUUAUUGAUUUUAUUGCACAUUUCUUUGAGACCGUUUUUCAGGAGGUUUUGACCUUUCCAAUAUAUCUAUUGAUGAACUUCUCCAAAUGUGCGCCCUUUCUUUAGGCUAGCCCGUCAUUGCCUAUAGGCCUUAUAACAUGAAAACUGGCCAUUUGCAGUUUUGAAAUCUAACUUAUUUUCACAUAAAAAAAUGUGUAGACUCUGAUCAUCCUUCCAUCCGAUGGGAUAACACUUCCCACAAAAACAAAUAGAGGAGACUAGUAACUAUUAUGAACUUCGGGGAAUUAGACUGCUUAGUUACAAACUAAGUAGGUGCGUCUUGAAAGAAACAUCUGAAUGCAUAUUUUCUAUUUAGUGCUGCAGAUGAAGAACAUCAGGGAACAUUCUUUCCGAAAAUCUCCUAGGCUCCACCAGUUUGCUUUCUCUUCCAGCUUAGAAGCUGCCCUUCUUAAAUCCUUGCAAAGCAGCUAAAAAUCUCCUGGUUUUUAAGGAUUGGAUGAAGAUUUGGGACACAAAUCAGUACAAGCCAGAACUACAUUUUUGAAAAUUUUGGUGGUAACUCAAGGCCAUAAAUUCCUGCCACAGAAGUAAAUUUAGGGCUCUCUCAGGCUAAUAUUUUAAUGCCUGUCAUUUACAUAAGGCACUUUUGUAAGCGCUGCCAUGUGUCUUGAGAAUUCAUGUUUCUCCCGCCUUCAUUCUUGUGUGUGAAAGUUUUAUGUUGUAUAUAACUGGGUGUUUUGGUGUUAAGACAUGGCAGCCAGUCUCUUUCCAUCAGUUUAUUCUUCUUUAAACAUAUUUCUCUGUUUAUAGAAUCUGAAGCAGAAUUGGGACACUGGGAAGCAUGGGAUGACUGUCCCUGUCAGGGAAUGCACACUCAGAAUCCUCAGAUACCACUGGUCACCAACUGUGUGUAAUUUACUGGCAAUUAAUAAAAGGCUCUUUCCUUAAUGGAACUAGAGGCUGAUGGGAUCAUUUUAUUUUUAAAAUGCGCCAGAUGAAAAUUAUCAUUAGGAGUUCUCAAUAUGGCUCAAAGGGUGAGGAACCUGAGGUUGUCUCUCUGAGGGUGUGGUUCAAUCCCUGGCCUCACUCAGUGGGUAUUGCUGCAGGCUGCAGUGUAGGUCACAGAGGCAGCUCAGAUUGGUGUUGCCGUGGCUGUGGUAUAGGCCUGCAGCUGUGGCUCCAAUUCAAACCCUAGCCUGGGAAGUUCCAUAU